AAUAAAUGGUGUUGGGAAAACCAGCUAGCCUAUGCAGAGCCAGGCGUUUCUUAGUAUGCAUUGAACUCAUGCCAAACUAUUGUUUCACACUAUUAUUGUCUAAAAGACAACGUGUACUAGAAAUGUGAAACAGGAAAUGUCCAUCUGACCUUAUCACAGUACAAGAAAUUUUCCAGAGUCCAUAUGCUGAUGUAAUUAUUUUAAAAAUUAUUUUUGUUUUUUAAAGUGGUAGAUCCUUAGAACAAUUGUCUUUGGCAUCACAGAUAUAGCAUAUGGCGUAUCAUCUCCCUUUUAGAGGAAUAGUGCACUGUAAUAGUGCACUGUAAUUGGUACAGUCUGCUUUUAUGUUAUUUUCUAAUUAGGUUUUAGGAGUUCUUUUUAUUUACUUGGUUUGUUUGUGUGUGUGAAACAUAACAUAUGUAUUUGUAUGUCUUAACCUUUCCUUUGUUUGGAAAGUCCUUAGUUUAUUUUACAUAGAAUGAUUUUCCUUUAUCCGCAAAGCUAUGACCCAUAUAAGCUAUUUCCUUCUGUUCCAGUACUGUGCUUAUGUAAUUUCCUAUAAACAGCAGCAAACAACGUCAGUAUACACUGGCUGUUGGUUCAGUGUUCUUGCAGUACUUACAAUGGACAUUUCUCAGCAUAAUUAAUCUCUUUUCGAAAUUUUGGCCCUAUUUUUAUCAGCACCAAUACAAUACUUUGAAAUGAAUGGAAAUGCUGUAUUCCUUGAAGGGUAAGGAUUAAAGCUGAAACUGGGUCUAGGGAUGAGGUGACGAGGAAAAAAAAACCCUUACAAAUCUGGUGAUUUUUUUCUCCUUUGGAAGUGAAAAACAAUGAGCUGUACUCUGUGAAAGAAAGGAAACGGUGCUGACAAGCUUUUCUCCAACCACUGUGCACCUCUGGUUCAGAACCAGCAGAAGCCAAUUAGUUAUUUAGUUCAUUAGCACAUUUAAGUGUGAGAUUUUAUUUAUAUGACCAUCAAGAACUAGAUAUUCAGGCGUAAUUCAGGUCCUUUUUCAUUUAUAAUGAGUCUCUUUCAUUUGUAAUUUCUCUUUUGAUUUAUAGUCAUUUUAAUUCUUGUUUUAUAUUUGUUUUAAUCCAUGAUCUUCUUUUUAUCCUAUAUCUUAUAUAUCUUUUAGCUGUCCCUUUUUCCAUAUAGUUUUACAGAAUCCCAGAAAUCCUUUUCUUUUGUUAAAAUGCUAUCACUAGUAGUAUUUCUAAUGCCAAUUUAAGCUUUUUUAUUCUAGAAUAAUUUGUGCAUAAUGAAUUGUUAAGUGUAUCUACAGAGAAUGAAUGAUUGAUAUUCAGCCAAGCUUUGCCUAUGUCUUUCCAUGACCAAAAACAAUAAAGUAAAAGGAAAAAAAAUUCAGUUAGUCUGUUGUUUCAUCUGUGUGGCUCUGAACAACCUAUUUGUAUAUUUUGGGAAAUUUUUUUCUCAUUGAAUUACUGUGUAUAUUUAUCAUGUACAUUGAUGGUUGAAUUUUCACUGUAUACCUAUAUGGUAAAAAGUUUGGAAAAAAACUAUUUUUUAAUAGCCAUUUUGGAAACAAGUGUCAGUGAGCAUAUUGUUUUAGGAAAAGGAGGAUGGUGGGGACACUGGAUUGAAAGGAAGUCUUAUGUCAGAGGGCUCUGUGCACAUUUUCCUGAAGUACCUCAGCUAUGCUUAAAUGUAAUCGGUUAUUUUAACCAAUCAUAAUGGUUGCAUUUUGCCUUUUCUCAUAAUAAAUUAUAAAACUGAUAACUUAUAAAUAUGGCAAAACCUUAUUUUUCAGGAUGCCGCUCCCUUCUCUAACAGAUUGAAUUUUGUGUCAAAAGACUUCAAAAGCUACCAGAGUAUUGUGAAAGAAGAAACAGUGUUGUCGAAGGCUGCUGAUAUUGCCUGUUAGCCAGAAGAAAGAACCUGAAUCAUUCAAAGGUUUUCCAUCUGGCAAAGAAGUGUGGUAAAAAUCCUACCCAGAUCUGCAUGUGCUAAGUAUCCAGGUAAGUUGGAGCAACAUAUUAAUGGCAACCAGUGAAGAAAUGAAAGGUAAAACUAUAAUGCAAUGUGUUUCUGUGCCUCAUGUUGAAACGUCAUAUUCAAGGGCUAAAGGGGCUUCAUUUUUCUUCUUCCCCAGCUUGUGUAUUUCAGUUUUGUAUUGAAAUGUUCUUUGGGUUCAUAAAAUAUUUAGGGACUACAUAAAAAAGAAAGACUUUGGAAUCAAAGGCAAGCUUUGGAAUCAAACACAGCUUCUGUUCAAUGAAACUAGGAAAUCACGAUCUAUCAAAGGCCUAGUGUUAAUCGGUACCAAUUUCUCACCACGUUUUGAUUAGAAGAAAAUUGAGCUGCAAACAUUUAAUGAUUUGUCUGACUGAAUGCUGACUUAAAGUUCUGAUCUCUAGUAAUGUCAGGCAUGUUGUCUUGGUAAAUUGUACAGUUCACAUCUCUCUUAUGAGUUCCAGAUGUGUAUAUGCAACUGCCUGCUGGAUUUCUACUUGAAUGUCUUAAUUUCUCAAACUUGGCAUGUGGAAAACUGAACACCUUGAUCUUCCUAAAAAUCUGUUUUUCUGUCAUUUAGUUCGUCAGCUAAAAACUUCGGAGCUAGACAUAUGGACUGCCCAUACUAAGGGAAGAAUCAGAGGAGAAGGGAUACAAGACCCCAGGAGCACACCCAGCACCUUAAUAUGCAUGCUGCGUCUCUCUAAAAUGGUGGAACCUGUUUGUUUACCUGUUCUGGAGAAUGGCUGCCUAUAGCAGACACAGGAGUUGUCUUCACACUGUGCGUUCCGACUUCCACAGGAAUUUGAGUUGUAGCUGCAAUGCAGCUACCAACCGGGGAUACAGUUUCUCAGCCCCGCGCCUUGUACCUACAGCUAAGUGUGGCCAUGUGACCAGUUUUCAUCAAUUAAGUAUGAAUAGAAACAAAGUGCACCACCUUCAUUUGCUCUCUUUCGCCUUGUGCUAGGGGAUACAGAUGACAAUAAGGCCCUAGGUGAUGAGGCAGCCAUAAGAUGCAAAAUGCCUCAGACCUGAGUCACCACGUGGAAGAGAGAAGCUCACUGACCUAGAACAUCCACCCUGGUCUAUAGAUGAACAAGAAAUAAACUUCUAUUGUGUUUGAACAUUGAAGAUUUGGUUCUGUUAUAGCAACUUAUCUCACCCUGACUAAACUGUUACCUGUCGUUCAAGAGAUAGGCAAGUUUAGCCAGGGUGCCCUCCUUCCCUGAAAGUGAUUUUUUCAUAAAUGUAAUCUAUAUGUUAAUUCAUACUCUCCAAAGCAUAUACACAUCUAUUCAACUAUGCUUAUGUGUUCCAUCAACAGAAACCUCAUAUAAAUAAAUAUAUAUAAAGGUUUAAAAAAAAAAA